CAUGAGUUGCAAAACUCCACAAACCAUUCGUGAAUCUACCGUAUCGGUUGCCUUCGGCGCUGGCGAGUCCGGACAGCGGCCCUCGGGCCCCCGGAUCCUCGGUCCCGUCGGGGAGGCAGCCCGCCGGAGUGCCGUAACCAAACUAUGCAUACUAUUGUCUCUCUGAGUAACUUUUAAAUAAGUCA
rnacentral:misc_RNA from 1 species